AACGAACGCUGGCGGCAUGCCUAACACAUGCAAGUCGAACGAGACCUUCGGGUCUAGUGGCGCACGGGUGCGUAACGCGUGGGAACAUGCCCUUAGGUUCGGACUAACUCCCCGAAAGGGGUGCUAAUACCGGAUAAUGUCUUCGGACCAAAGAUUUAUCGCCUUUGGAUGGGCCCGCGUUGGAUUAGCUAGUUGGUAGGGUAAAAGCCUACCAAGGCGACGAUCCAUAGCUGGUCUGAGAGGAUGAUCAGCCACACUGGGACUGAGACACGGCCCAGACUCCUACGGGAGGCAGCAGUGGGGAAUAUUGGACAAUGGGCGAAAGCCUGAUCCAGCAAUGCCGCGUGAGUGAUGAAGGCCUUAGUGUUGUAAAGCUCUUUUACCCGGGAUGAUAAUGACAGUACCGGGAGAAUAAGCUCCGGCUAACUCCGUG
rnacentral:rRNA from 1 species